UCUGACCCGCGAGUGGGACUCACUGGAGCAUGAACAGUGUAUCUUCAACCUCUGGCGGGUCGACCCGUGACCAGAAACGGGUCAAAACUGGGUUGCGCUCCAUCACCAUUUUCUCCGCGUUUUCAGCCCUGUUUCGUGCGAUUUUUGGUGCGUUUCGACCAGAAUUCAAUCUUCUAAAGAUUUUAACACAAAAUUAUCAAGUUUUAAACAUCAAAACGUGAGAUUUAAAACAAAA
rnacentral:lncRNA from 1 species